GACGAACGCUGGCGGCGUGCUUAACACAUGCAAGUCGAACGGAAAGGCCCUGCUUUUGUGGGGUGCUCGAGUGGCGAACGGGUGAGUAACACGUGAGUAACCUGCCCUUGACUUUGGGAUAACUUCAGGAAACUGGGGCUAAUACCGGAUAGGAGCUCCUGCUGCAUGGUGGGGGUUGGAAAGUUUCGGCGGUUGGGGAUGGACUCGCGGCUUAUCAGCUUGUUGGUGAGGUAGUGGCUUACCAAGGCUUUGACGGGUAGCCGGCCUGAGAGGGUGACCGGCCACAUUGGGACUGAGAUACGGCCCAGACUCGUACGGGAGGCAGCAGUGGGGAGUAUUGCAGAAUGGGCGGAAGCCUGAUGCAGCAACGCCGGGUGCGGGAUGACGGCCUUCGGGUUGUAAACCGCUUUCGCAUGUGACGAAGCGUGAGUGACGGUAAUGGGUAAAGAAGCACCGGCUAACUACGUG
rnacentral:rRNA from 1 species